rnacentral:RNase_P_RNA from 1 species
AGAGUCAGCUGGGCAAUCGCCGGUCGUUCGCGGCGGGAGGAAAGUCCGGGCUCCACAGGGCAGGGUGCCAGGUAACGCCUGGGGGGCGAGAGCCUACGGACAGUGCAGCAGAGAGUAGACCGCCGAUGUGGUGAACGCCUAUCGGUAAGGGUGAAACGGUGCGGUAAGAGCGCACCGCACACGUGGUAACACGGUGUGGCAAGGUAAACCCCACCUGGAGCAAGGCCAAAUAGAGAUCCGUUGAUACGGCCCGUAUUGGAUCCGGGUAGGCCGCUUGAGGCUGUUGGUGACGACAGCCCUAGAUGAAUGAUUGUCCACGACAGAACCCGGCUUAUAGGCUGACACUCACU